GGCCCGUUGGUCAAGUGGUUAAGACACCGCCCUUUCACGGCGGUAACAUGGGUUCAAAUCCCGUACGGGUCACCA
rnacentral:tRNA from 2 species